rnacentral:ncRNA from 1 species
GCCUUACUGUUAAUUUUAAUUAGACCUACACAUGCAAGUUUCCGCUACCCUGUGAGAAUGCCCUUAAAACUAAAGAUAGAGGAGCCGGUAUCAGGCACACAAAAGUAGCCUCCUACACCUUGCUCAACCACACCCCUACGGGACACAGCAGUGACUAACAUUAAGCCAUAAACGAAAGUUUGACUGAAUCAUAAUUAUAGGGUUGGUAAAUUUCGUGCCAGCCACCGCGGUCAUACGAUUAACCCAAAUUAAUAGACUUCGGCGUAAAGAGUGUUUAAAAAUAAAGUUGAUACUUAACUAAACUGUAAUACGUUCUAGCUAAUGUUAAAAUAAGCGAUUAAAAUGACUUUAAUAGAACUGAAACACGAAAGCUAAGAUACAAACUGGGAUUAGAUACCCCACUAUGCUUAGUCUUAAACUAUAAUAAUUUAUUAACAAAAUUAUUCGCCAGAGAACUACUAGCUAUUGCUUAAAACUCAAAGGACUUGGCGGUGCCCUAAACCCAUCUAGAGGAGCCUGUUCUAUAACCGAUAUACCCCGAUAAACCCAACCCUAUCUUGCCAGUACAGUCUAUAUACCGCCAUCGUCAGCUAACCUUAAAAAAGCUUAAUAGUUAGCAAAAUCAUAUAUCAUAAAAACGUUAGGUCAAGGUGUAACAUAUGAUAGGGAAAGAAAUGGGCUACAUUCUCUAUUUUAGAGAAUUACGAAUCACAUUAUGAAAUUAAAGUGCUAGAAGGAGGAUUUAGUAGUAAAUUGAGAAUAGAGUGCUCAAUUGAAAUAGGCAAUAGGGCG